GUCCGGUAAGAGGGGUGAAGUCGUAACAAGGUAGCCGUACCGGAAGGUGCGGCUGGAUCACCUCCUUU
rnacentral:rRNA from 1 species